rnacentral:rRNA from 1 species
GUGACGGCGUGCCUUUUGCAUAAUGAGCCUACGAGUUAGUCGUCACCAGCGAGGUUAAGGGCUUCAGGCCCGUCAGCCGAAGUGAAAGCGAGCCUUAACAGGGCGUGAAGUUGGUGGCGCUAGACGCGAAACCUUGUGAUCUACCCACGAGCAGGUUGAAGUCGCGGUAACGCGUGAUGGAGGACCGAACCGGUAAACGUUGAAAAGUUUUCGGAUGACUCGCGGGUAGGGGUGAAAGGCCAAUCAAACUGGGAAAUAGCUCGUACUCUCCGAAAUGCAUUUCGGUGCAGCCUGUGAUGUUCUGUUCCAGAGGUAGAGCUACUGGUUGGACGCGAGGGCUUCACCGCCUAUCAAAUCCGGAUAAACUCCGAAUGCUGGAACACGAAAUCAUGGAGUGAGCCCGCGGGUGCUAAGGUCCGCGGACGAGAGGGAAAGAACCCGGACCACCGGCUAAGGUCCCGGAUGGACAGUUAAGUUGAUCAAACGAGGUGGGAUCGCGGAGACAGCUAGGAUGUUGGCUUGGAAGCAGCCAUUCAUUUAAAGAGUGCGUAACAGCUCACUAGUCGAGCGAUCCCGCGUGGAUAAUACACGGGCAUAAAACUGUCAACCGAAGCCGUGGGGUUAGCUUUAUUGCUAACCGGUAGGAGAGCAUUCCUGCCAGCUUUGAAGGUCACCCGCGAGAGUGACUGGAGCGGCAUGAAAAGCAAAUGUAGGCAUAAGUAACGAUAAUGGGGGCGAGAACCCCCCACGCCGCAAGACCAAGG